rnacentral:rRNA from 1 species
GACGAACCGUGCGAACGUUGUUCGGAUUCACUGGGCAUAAAGGGCGCGUAGGCGGAUGGUCAAGUCGGGGGUGAAAUCUUUCAGCUUAACUGGAAAAGUGCCUCCGAUACUGAUCGUCUCGAGGGAGGUAGGGGCAUGUGGAACUUCCGGUGGAGCGGUGAAAUGCGUAGAUAUCGGAAGGAACGCCGGUGGCGAAAGCGACGUGCUGGACCUCUUCUGACGCUGAGGCGCGAAAGCUAGGGGAGCAAACGGG